rnacentral:sRNA from 1 species
UUUUUCUUGGAAUUAUUUUGCUUUUGAUGUCGGAUUAUUUGGCCUGUCUAACGCCGCAAUUUACAUUUGGGGAUUUAAAAAUUCCCCCCAACCGAAUUCGGUUGCAUUGUUUAUAGAAGUUCUUGGGGCAGAGGGAUUUAUGGGGGUAUAGCAAACACACAAAAACACCUACACUUGCUCACAAAUAUUUGACAUUACAUGUUAAUGGUGCGACGCCAGGAUUGUCAAAGUGAUGAUAACGGUUAAAUGUGGUUGGAGAGAGAGCGGAAAGUACAGUGGACUCCAGACGGGAUGAACUCAAUAAGAUAUAUCAGAUAAUGUAAAAGAGAUCGAAGAUCCUACGUUCUAGGAUUAUGGCACCGACUCAGCUUUCCAGACAAAACAGACGUGCCGAAUAUGCCGCGGGACACGGUCAGUAACGAACCAUAGAUGAAAGGAGAAUUAAAACCUUGCACAACCCUGUCUACGGCCCACUUUUUGUGCAACAUAUUGUUAUUGUAUAGUCCUUGAUAAUUAUCAACUAUAAUCGGUAGCAGUAAACCAAUUCCUCUAGCAUGUU